rnacentral:lncRNA from 1 species
UUAAAGGGCCUCCUGGACCCCCAGGUGAAAAGGGAGACAAGGGACUUACUGGACAAAGUGGUCCACCUGGUGUUCCAGGUGCAAGAGGUCCUCCAGGUCCUAAAGGUGAUCAGGGACCAGUUGGCUUCCCUGGUGGGCGAGGAUACCCAGGAGCACCAGGAAAGGCAGGGAGGUCAGGAUUUCCUGGACCUAAAGGACAAAAGGGAGAAAAGGGGCGUGCAGGAAUAUCAAUAUAACUCCCUGUUCCUAUUGGGGCAAGACCCUUUUAAGAUCAGCUGGGCUGGGCAGAGCACUCUACUAUCAUCUGCUUAAAGACAUUUCACCUCUGGACAAGUCAUCCGCACAAGUGACUGGGAUCCUUUUGCAACUCCUCCAAAUGACAUUGGUUCCUGUGUCAUGUCAUGCCUGGCUUCUCCAUGACUUCCUCUUCUGACCCUGGGUGCUGUUUGGGCCUCCAAUGCCAAAAGUACAUCAUUGUGCACUCUGCUACCUUUUCCCCAUCCCCUGUCACCCUUUACCUAGAUGCCCCACAUGUUGACUAGAGGAAUGUUCCUGCCUCCUUCAGACCUUCUGCUGUUCCCCUCACCUAAUUGUGCAGAAUCCCAUUGGAUUCUAGGGAAAUCUUAACUGAAUAUUGAUUGAUUGAAUAUUGGUUCUUGAAAUGUAGGAUGUUUUCCUCAAAUACAAAUAGGGAUGGGAAUAGAGGUCUGUCCAUCCAUUCAUUCACUAAUUCAUUUAGCAUCAGUUUAUUGGGUACCAAUUGGAGCCCAACUUAACAGCUAUAAAUAUGUGUUUCCUA